AAGGGGAGAUCGCGGGUCCAUCCUGGGCCCUUGGUAGGAACGUCGGCUCCGGAUGAACACAUUUGGAGACGACGUUUGCCAGAGAAUCGCUCCCCCCUUUCUGCAGACGUUAGGCAAUAUUCCUCCGCUUUGUCUUCAUUUCCAGGAAGAGAAGGCGAUGCCAUUAUGGAAUCAUUUUUCCUCCCGCCUCGGCCGAUAGAUAAAUAAGGGUUUCCAGGAAAGAAGAUGCGCCCAAAGCGUCCCCCAUUUCUCGCGAGGAAAACCACAGGCGAGCUCGUCCUGCAGGGCUGGGCUGGGCUGGGCUGGGCUGGGGGAGGAGGGGGCCACACGAGCGGCUCAGCUCCCUGCCUGGGCCCGGAGCAGAGUGGCGAGGGGAUUGUUGCAGCUGUCUUACUUUAACAAGUCUGAUGGAGGAGGCACUGAGACAGUAAGUGACUUUUUCCCCGUUUCCUUCAAAAGUCAGGUGUUAAAAAGCAAAGGAGUUCUUCCAGGACGGCCCGCUGUUUCUUCUGUCUCCCAGAGGAGGCGGUGGGCAUCCCCUUGGUCUGAGGGCAGCUCUGCUCUGCCUGCCUCACUUCUCCUUCCUCCCUACUCCCCGGCUUGCCAGAAAGCCCUGUCAUUCCUGCCAGGUCUUUGAGUCAACCCAUCAACCCUUGAGGUGCAGAGAACUGACUCCACUUCCUCACCAUGGCGAUGCUCUGGCUCCAGGUUAGGCGUCCAUGACGUCUGGUAAAGAUCUACCCAACCCUUGGGUUUGUAUGGCUUCCCUUGACGCUAACACACUAAGGGUAGGUCGUUAAAGUUCUUUCUAAGAAAUGCUUUUCUUCAGUGGUAAAGAGAAAAGAAGAGUUCCUUUAGGUUAAGGGUCCGGAUGGAGAGUGAAGGACGGGGAGGCCGCCGCUCUAAGGCACUGCACAGUGCUGGUGUCAGGGCUGCAGCAUCAGCUGCCCGCCGGGUGGGCCCUCCUGGCUGGCAGCACACUGCCUCCGGGGAGCCUCCAGGUAGAGGUGAGAGAGGGGCUGGGGGUGUGGUGGCCGGCGAGGUGACCCCCACCUGCUGUGCUCUGGGGUGGAGGGAACCACCAUCAGAGCAUUCCCAGGGCUGCUGGGGCAAGCCCAGGGCCAAGCCUGAGAGGCACAGCUCCUGGGACGCACGUGGCCCAUAGGAGAGCUCUACUGUCCAAUUCCUUAAGGCUUCUAGGAAAUGAAAUUUUUGAAUAGAAAUAAAACCAUGGCUUCCAAGCGACUUGUCGAGCAUUAUUGCUAAAUGUAUUGAAAUAUACUGAUCAUUGAUAGGCUGCCUUAAACUACCAACAGCACCUGGAUUCUGGAUUCUAGAACUCUCGUGAUUUAGUUUCCAUACAUGUGAAUAUAUUUCCGCCUCCUUAAAGUGUCAAGUUGUGAUAGUGUGUCAGUCCUCUUAUAUCUUGUGUGCUCUGUUGUAACCUGUGUGAAUGCAGGUAUCUUAGGGCUGUAAAUAGUCCUGAGAAUGGACUAAAGUCAUGGUACAAUUGGAAUCUAUCUCAGGACUUUUAAUUGAAUAAUUUGAUAUAGAUAUAAAAUAUGACUUCAUAUUUCUGUAGUCAUAUGUUACACACCAGUUCAAACAUAUGGAAGAACAAUUAUAAACUUCAUUAAUUAGAAUAGUGCUGUUUUCAAAAUAAUCAUUCGUUUUGGGUUGAAUUCUAUCCCCCCCAAAAAGAUGUAUUGAAGUAAUCUCUGGUACCUGUGAACGCAACCUCAUCUGGAAAUAGGGUCAUUGUAGACAUAGCUAGUUAAGAUGAGGCCAUAGUGGAGCUGGGCAGGCCUUUAAUCCAAUAUGACAGGUAUCCUUACAAGAAGAGAGAGAUACUGAGGUGGAGACAGGGAGAGGAUGGCCGCUUGACAAUGGAGGCAGAGAAUGGAGUGAAGCCUCUGCAAGCCAAGGAAUGCCAAGGCUGGCAGGCAGACACCAGGAGCCAUGAGAGGCCGUGAAGGAUUCCUCCAUGAGUUUCAGAGGGCACAUGGCAUGGCUUACACCUUGGUUUCAGCCUUCUGGCCUCCAGAAAUGUGAGAGAAAAAAUUCCUGCUGUUUUAAGCUGCCUAGUUUGUGGCACUUUGUUACAGAAGCCACAGGAAACAUACAAACCUCUAAGAAAGGGAUAUGAUUGUCUCCCAUUUCCCAGAUUUAUCUGAUCAUACAACCUCUUCAUUUUCUCCAGCAUAUCUUGAGGGCGUUUGGUCAACCCAGUGUGGCCACCCCUACCUCUUGGAUGGCCUUUCGUCUUCAUUUGAUUCCUACAUACCUCAAGAGCAGUGUGCUGGACAAACGACGACCCCCAAAGAUGUCCACAUCCCAGUCCUGGAAACUGUGACUACGUAGAUUACACGGCAAAGGAGAGAGAAGGUUACAGGUGGAAUUAAGGCUGAUAAUCUGUUGACUUUAAAAUAGGAAGAUAAAUGGUGUGCAAAUAUUUUUUCCCAGUUGGUGGGUUGUCUUUUCGUUUUUUUCGUGGUUUCCUUUGCUUUGCA